UCCUUUUUUCCCUUUCUUCCUGGCUCAAAGAAGGAUCAAAACUUGAUUUCCAAAUCGGUGAUGGUGCCACGUUCUCUGAAGAUGUGUCUUCGGCACUGGUUAGCAUGGAUUUUGAGAUAUCUUCAACUUCAGAUGCUGGAUAAUUUAAAAUAAGUGAUGAUAGAAAUGGAUCAUGUGUUGCACUAGGCACAUUAGUGGUGCUUGUACGGUACCCACUGCUCCCUAGAAGCACCUGCAAAUGAGCCUCACGAAGGUCCCG
rnacentral:misc_RNA from 1 species